rnacentral:rRNA from 1 species
GAGGGUUCGGCCCUCGGCAGACGGCUCAGUAACACGUGGAUAAUCUGCCCUUAGGUGGAGGAUAACCUCGGGAAACUGAGAAUAAUACUCCAUAGAUCUAGGAUGCUGGAAUGCACUUAGAUUAAAAGUUCCGACGCCUAAGGAUGAGUCUGCGGACUAUCAGGUUGUAGUCAGGGUAAAGACCUGACUAGCCUACAACGGAUACGGGUUGUGAGAGCAAUAACCCGGAGACGAUAUCUGACACACGAUAUCGGGCCCUACGGGGCGCAGCAGGCGCGAAACCUUCACAAUGUGCGAAAGCACGAUGAGGGAAUCCCAAGUGCUUGCUCGUAAGAGUAAGCUGUUUUUAUGUCUAAAAAGCAUACAGAGUAAGGGCUGGGUAAGACGGGUGCCAGACGCCGCGGUAAUACCUGCAGCUCAAGUGGUGACCACUAUUAUUGGGCCUAAAACGUUCGUAGCCGGUUUGGUACAUGCCUGGGUAAAUCGUGUAGCUUAACUAUACGAAUUCCGGGUAGACUGCCACACUUGAGACCGGGAGAAGCUAGAGGUACUCCU